rnacentral:rRNA from 1 species
AGAAGGAUACACCUGUUCCCAUGUCGAACACAGAAGUUAAGCUUCUUAGCGCCGAGAGUAGUUGGGGGAUCGCUCCCUGCGAGGGUAGGACGUUGCCAU